AAAACCUAUCGUCUCUGGAAAUUCAACAUCUUUAUGGCCACAGCAAAGAUUGUUCCAAAGAGAACUGCGAAACUCAUAAUCACAGCAGCAACUAAUCCCAGGUAAUCAUGCCUGAAACCAUAACUAUUUCUCAAGUACUGCUUCACCGUCUCAUUGUUGCCAUCUUCAAGCAGUUCGUUUAUAUCUCCAAAUUGUGAAACAAACAAUCCAUACAAGGUCCAAGAUACUGGACAAAUCCAAUAGUACCAUCUCCACCAUACUGGUAUACUCUGUAAUGGGUGAAUGUUUGAACAGAGUGGAAAUAAGGUUAGUUUUUGUGUAUAUAUGCUAAAUAGACCAGUAACCUAAACCCCAGGUUUAAUCUUGUUGGUUUAUAAGCUAUGGUCUUCUUUAUAUCGAAAAAAAAAAAAGAUAUCAAAUUAUAUAAAAGUAGCACUUACAGGUCGUGGGAUGAUGAAACCCGAGAAGACAUUCCAUAGUCCAUAGAAUG
rnacentral:lncRNA from 1 species